GAGAGGAGGAGACCUAGCCCCUCACCUCUCCCUGGGAGGAGCAUCCAAGUAUUGCCAGGCCCUAUGCAGCAGCAGUGAAUUUGGAUUGUCUAUAAAGUCAUCGUCUUUAUCAAGCACCCAGGGUGAUUUUAAUGCUGGGUGACACGUUGAGAGCAACAAAGCUACAGAGAAAAAGGACAGUAAGGAGGUUCAGCUGAAGAACUACGCAGACCUUCCAGACUUCCGUGUUGUCCACCUCCAAUUCUUCUCCCAUCCAAUCAGGCCCGCGUGGUAUAAAGCACCCGUCUACAUCAGAAGCUCUGACCUCCAUCUGACGGGACAUAACAUCACGCUCCUCCCAGACCUGGAAACUGUGAGGCUUAUUGCUUCAAAAUACAGUCAUCCAUCCAAACAGAGAUACCCCAGUUUGGGCGUAGUCUGUCAGCUGUAAUUUCUACUACUUUCCUAACUUACAUUUCCUCCAGUCCAUGGAGAUAUGUGACUUAAUUCUGAGUUACAUACUUAAAAUGUGGUGGUUAUAAUUGUUCUCAGAUGAAUAAAAAAAUAUUUUUUAAGUUCAUAUAAAAAUAAACUAAUAUAAACAUAAAAAUCAUAAAUUAAAAACAACUUUAAUUUUACUCAUAAGGUAUUUUAAAAGAAAAUGUGUUGCUGUUUAGUUGCUAAGUCAUGUCCAACUC
ensembl:lncRNA